rnacentral:lncRNA from 1 species
AUACAUUUGGUAAAAACCAGUGCCAGUUUAUUACGAACAGACUAUACAACUUUAACAAUACUGGUUUACCCGAUCCUACUCUCGACGCUACUUACCUCCAAACUCUUCGUGGACAAUGUCCCCAAAAUGGUAAUCCAAGAGCCUUGGUGGAUUUUGAUCUCCGCACGCCUACGGUUUUCGACAACAAAUACUACGUGAAUCUGAAAGAAAGAAAAGGUCUUCUCCAAACCGAUCAAGUGUUGUUCUCUAGCCCCGAUGCCACAGACACGAGCCCCUUGGUGAGAGAAUAUGCUGAUGGCACACAAAAGUUCUUUGAUGCCUUCGUGGUGGCUAUGAACAGGAUGGGAAACAUUACACCUCUUACAGGAACUCAAGGACAAAUCAGGUUGAACUGUAGCGUGGUGAACUCCAACUCUCUACUCCAUGAUGUGGUGGAGAUUCUUGACAACUUUGUUAGCUCUAUGUGAGAAUUGUGUACUAAAUAUAAUAUAUGUCGCUACAAGAAUACGUAUCAAUAAAUAAAACUCUCAAAGCUGUUAUUACUUGAGAAUAUUAUAUUUAAAUUUCUCUUUUUCUAGAUUUUUGUAAAACAUACUCCAUGUGUUCUUUAUUAAUUAAUCCAAUUUCUAAGAAAAUGUUUCAAAGAAGAUAGAGCUUUAAGGUUUUCUAUGCAAUAUUUAUCAUGUUGAAUUCAAGAGAAAAUAAUACUGUAUAACUAUAAUAUUAUUGGUUUAGAGUUAUAGAAAUUUGUAAUAAAAAAAAAGAAAUGCAUUUUACAAAAUUUUAAUAUGUGUAAAAUACAUUAUUUAAGAAUAGAAGGAUUAAAUGUUCUCUCACGUGCAUGUUUUAAUCGAAUUAAAUACAUAUCAACCAAAAGAAAGAAAAAAACAAAUAUACACGUAUCACUAAAAUCUAGAUUUAUUUUUAGGAUUAGCCAUAUACGGAAGCUUCACAUCAACAUUGUGACUAAAUAUGUAAACCUCUAUUUUCUAACAAGCCACUGUCCUAAUGCCUAAUAGCGUUGAAACUUUCAUAGAGAUGGAAAGUGAUAGCUAAUCAUAUGAUUGAGGCUGUAGCAAGAGGUCGAGUUGCUGCGGCCAAGAAAUUUCUGCCAAGUCCUCGAGGAGAGAAAGAGAUAAGAAUAAUUGAAGCAAAGAUUUUUUUUUUUUUUUCAUCAUUAUAGCAAAGAUUAAAACCGUAAAUAAAUUUUCUAAAAUAUCUGGUUAUUAAAUUAGAAAUUUAAACAACUUUUAAAAUUCUUGAAUUGCUACGUUGCGUUUUAGCUUCUCUUGUAUUCUGAUAAAUCUGUAUUUUUGUAGUCCAAACCAUUUUGAUUUUCUCGUCGUAAACCAUAUAUAUGACCUAGUAACACGACUUUUAGCCGUCUACUACCAUUAUUUUUGAAAUAGAACCAAAUUAUUUUUAUUUUUAUUUUUAUUACACCUAAACAUCCAAACUAUUAAAAAAGUCUUCAAUAUCAAUUAUAAUAUCUUAGAUGCUUUUUUGUUUUUAAUGGUGUUUUACUAUGUAACGUGCACCAUUUUACUAGUGGCGCCAUCUACUAUAGAUGACCAUGUUGAUAUUAUUAUAGUAGAGAAAAUGUGAGAAAGUUUGAGGUUACAAAGUAUGAAUACCCCAAAAGAUAAAGCCUCCAAGUUAGACACGUUUUGUCCUAUAAAAGGACUCUUUAAGAUAUGGAUCUUACUCAUCUUUCUCCAUUAAACUUAAUCAAAGAUGAAGUUCUCUGUUUCUUCUUCUUCUACUACUACUUUUUUCACUUGGACAAUCUUAAUAGCAUUGGGAUGUCUUACGCUUCGUGCGUCUAUGUCCGAUGCUCAACUUACUCCUACCUUUUAUGACACUUCAUGUCCUAACGUCACCAACAUCGUAAGAGAUACCAUUGUCAACGAGUUAAGGUCAGACCCUCGUAUCGCCGCGAGCAUCCUUCGUCUUCACUUCCACGACUGCUUUGUUAACGUACGAUACUAUACUUUUUUAAGUUUUUUCACAUAUCUAUCGCGUUACUAAACUACUGUAUGUAUCAUACUACUGAUUUUUUCAUGUUUAUUUAUUCAUAUUAUUUUAACGCAUUUAUUUAUUUGAUUUGAUUAUAUAACAAUUUUAAUAAUACUAUAUAUAAGAUUCAACUAUAUAUUUAUGGAAAUUUUAUCUUUAUUCCGUAAAAUAUGGUUUUUAUGAAUUACAAAAGAUUCAACUAUAUAUUUAUGGAUCCACGUGAUACAAUGACUAACAAUUUGUGAAAUUUAAAUUUUGGACUUUUUGAAAGGGUUGUGACGCAUCGAUCUUGUUAGACAACACAACAUCCUUCCGAACAGAGAAAGAUGCGGGUGGAAAUGCAAAUUCGGCUAGAGGAUUUCCAGUGAUCGAUAGAAUGAAAGCCGCAAUAGAGAGGGCUUGCCCGAGAACUGUUUCAUGCGCUGAUACGCUAACCAUCGCUGCUCAACAAUCUGUCACUUUGGUAUCUAUAUUUUGGCACUUAUCAUUAAUUAUUAUAUUCAUUACUGCUUAAGAGUCACUUAAUUAACAAAUUAAACACGACUAUUUAAGAUUGAAAAUAUGAUAUACAGUAUAUAUCUUGUUUGUUUGAGAAAGUCACGCACUCAAUAUUUAGUAUCAACUUUCCAACCAUUUGACAAAUAAUUCAAAAUUAUUAGGGAAAAUAUUCAAAACGCGUGGUCCCGUAAUUGAAUUUUGAUGGCUUUUACUACUAUUGUUGAAUGAAAGAAAAGGAAAAUAGAUCACAUAUCACAAUAGUGUAAUUGGUAACCAAAAAGAAUUACUUAUAUUUUUCAUAUUUUGUUAAAGAAAAUAUUGGAGAUUAAAAACCUUCAUAUCAAGUAGUCUAUGAAAUAAUAUAACAUGUUUUUUUUCUUUGAACACAUUGAAAUUUAAUGAUGAUAUCAUCGUAUAGGCAGGAGGUCCUUCAUGGAGAGUUCCAUUGGGGAGAAGAGACAGCUUACAAGCAUUUUUGCAACUCGCUAAUGCGAAUCUUCCUGGUCCAUCCUCCACACUUCUACGACUUAAAGAUAGAUUUAGAAACGUUGGUCUCGACCGUCCUUCUGAUCUCGUUGCUCUAUCCGGUAAUUAACAAAAAGAUAUUAAACACCAUUUCAUGUACUUAGUUGUAAUCAGCUAAGUUUGUUAUUUAUCGAUCUUAUGGCCUUUCUUUUGCUAGGUGCCCACACAUUUGGUAAAAACCAAUGCCGGUUUAUUAUAAACAGACUAUACAACUUUAACAGUACUGGUUUACCCGACCCUACUCUCAACACUACUUACCUCCAAACCCUUCGUGGACUAUGUCCCCAAAAUGGUAAUCUAAGUGCCUUGGUGGAUUUUGACCUGCGCACGCCCACGGUUUUCGACAACAAAUACUACGUAAAUCUUGGUGAGAGAAAAGGUCUUAUCCAGAGCGACCAAGAGCUGUUCUCUAGCCCAAAUGCCACGGACACAAUCCCUUUGGUGAGAUCAUAUGCUAGUAGCACACAAACCUUCUUCAAUGCGUUUGUGGAGGCCAUGAAUAGGAUGGGAAAUAUCACACCUCUUACUGGAACUCAAGGACAAAUCAGGUUGAAUUGUAGGGUGGUGAAUUCCAACUCUCUACUCCAAGAUGUUGUGGAAAUUGUUGACUUUGUUAGCUCCAUGUGAGAAUUGUUUACUAAAUAUGUAUGUGGCUAUAAGAAUGCGUGUUAAUGAAUAAAACUCUCAAGAUGUUACUUGAGGUUAUGUAAUUUAAAUCUCUCUUUUUCUAGUUUUUUUCCUAAAACAUAGUAUAUACUAAAUGUUCCCACGUUCAUGUUUUCAUCGAAUUCAUUUAUUUCAACCAAAAAAAAAUAAAAAAUGAUACAGAUGAAUUUAGACAUAUGAUUCGCAAUAUACUGAAGUCCGACAUCAACGUUACGACAAUAUAUAUAUACCUUGAAAAUUAAUAACACCGUUGAAAAUUACAUAAAUACAUAAAGAUGGAAAAGUGACAGGUAAUCACAUGCAUGAGACUAUAGCCAGAGGUCAAGUUACUGCGGCUUAUGCUGCUAAGGUUAAAAGAUUAAAACUGUAAAUAAUUCUUCGAAAAAUAUCUGAUGAGAAAAUUAAUGUGAGAAAGUUUAAGGUUACCCAAAAAAAAAAAAAAAAAGGCUUCCGAGUUUUGUCUAUAAAAGGACUCUUUAAGAUAUGGAGCUUCCACAUCUUUAAUUUCUCCAUUAAACCUAAUCAAAUAGUUUUCUUUGUCCUUUUAAAAGAUGAAGUUCUCUGCUUCUUCUCCUUUGUUCGCUUGGAAAAUCUUAAUCACAUUGUCAUGUUUUAUACUAUAUGCUUCUUUUUCCGAUGCUCAGCUUACCCAUACCUUCUACGACAAUUCAUGUCCUAAUGUUACGAACAUCGUACGAGAUACCAUUGUCAAUGAGUUAAGGUCAGAUCCUCGUAUCGCUGCAAGCAUCCUUCGUCUUCACUUCCACGACUGCUUUGUAAAUGUAAGAUAUUACUUUUUCUCAUAUGUAUCAUAUUACUGAUGAUGUUUCCAUGUUUAUUUACUCAUAUUAUAUCUUUUGAUUCUUUUCUAUGAUCAACAUUUGAAUUUUAUAUAAAGCCAUUUUAAUGUGAUUAUAUAUAAACAUUUCGAUAUCAUAGUAUUUUGGUUUAUUCAAGAUCAUUUAUCUUGAUUGAGUAAAAUAUGGGUUUUAUAUAUGAAUUACAAAAAGAAAAAAAUCAACGUACAUCGUUAGUAGAACUGGUGGUAAAGAUUCAUUAACUAUUGUACACUGACUAACAAUAUGGCAAAUGCUAUUUUGGACUUUUGAAAGGGUUGUGAUGCAUCGAUCUUGCUAGACAACUCAACAUCAUUCCGAACAGAGAAAGAGGCGCUUCCAAACGCAAAUUCUGCUAGGGGAUUUCCAGUAAUCGAUAGAAUGAAAGCCGCGAUAGAGAGGGCUUGCCCGAGAACCGUUUCAUGCGCUGAUAUGCUCACCAUCGCGGCUCAACAAUCUGUUUCUUUGGUAUAUACAAUGCUCAACUUAUCAUUAAUUCUUUUAUUCAUUACUGUUUACAAUAAUGAUAUAGUCACUUAACAAAUUAAGUGAAAUAUAUGAAUGAUAUCAUAGGCGGGAGGUCCUUCUUGGAAAGUUCCAUUGGGGAGAAGAGACAGUUUACAAGCAUUUUUUCAACUCGCUAAUGAUAAUCUUCCAGCUCCAAACUUCACACUUCCACUACUUAAAGAUAAAUUUAGAAAUGUUGGCCUUGACCGUCCUUCUGAUCUCGUUGCUCUCUCCGGUAAUUAAUAGAAGGAUAUUACACACCAUUUGAUAUGUAGUUUGUAAUCAGCUGAGUUUUGUUACUAAAUUGAUCUUAUGGUUUCUCUUUUUGUUAGGUGGCCAUACAUUUGGUAAAAACCAGUGCCAGUUUAUUACGAACAGACUAUACAACUUUAACAGUACCGGUCUACCCGAUCCUACUCUCAACGCUACUUACCUCCAAACUCUUCGUGGAUUGUGUCCUCCUAAUGGUAACCAAAGUGCCUUGGUGGAUUUUGAUCUGCGUACACCUACGGUUUUCGACAACAAAUACUACAUGAAUCU